UGCGUAGGCGGGGCAAUUAGUCAGUGGUGAAAUCCUGCGGCUUAACCGUAGAACUGCCAUUGAUACUGUUGCCCUUGAGUAUAGUUGAGGUGGGCGGAAUGUGUAAUGUAGCGGUGAAAUGCAUAGAGAUUACACAGAACACCAAUUGUGAAGGCAGCUCACUAAACUAUAACUGACGCUGAGGCACGAAAGCGUGGGGAGCGAACAGGAUUAGAUACCCUGGUAGUCC
rnacentral:rRNA from 1 species